GUUGCUACAAGGACGCUAUAAAUGCCUGUACCAAGUCAGGAAUAUGACAGUUUUUUUUUUUCAUUCGUUAGAUGUGUUUGAGCUUUUGAUUUUGCCGUCCUAUAAAAGGCUUUCCGUUUUGAAUUUCCCUUGGAGUUCUGUAUUUUUGUUUUUUUUUACUUUGAAUAUGGAGUUUCAAGUGAUAAAGUUGAAAUGGUCAUUUUCACAAUUUAACUGACACCAUUACAAGUUAGUUGAACGUUAUGGAAUAUCUGCUUCACAAAUGACGACGGGUGUGUUCGAAUUAUAACCGCAAUCCUGUCUUCCCCCUCUCGAUUUGAUCUACCAAAUUAGUCUUACUAUCGAGUGUGGGCAACACGUUGGGUGCCAAAUGAGGAGCAAGUCUAUUCACCAUUCCGGAGCACCUCAGAUCACGAUCGGUUCUUGGUGGGAUUCUUGUUGCACAAUCUUAUUUAUUUGUUGUGUUUUAUAGACUAUUUUUGUGUCAUUUGGUCUCUUGUGAAGAGUUGUCUCAUAGGCAAUCAUAUCACAUCUUCUUAUUUUCAUAUUGUUUCCUUUCUGAUUGUUUGAUUUUGAUUUUUUUUUUUUUUUUUUGGCAUUGUCAAUUCAUAUUUUGAUUUAAUUUAAAAGGUGUGGCUCACUUGCAAAGAGGAAAUCAAUAUAUAUUUUUUGACUUUGAUUAUCCGUUUAGUAUCUGUCGACUCUUUUUUACUAAUGAACGCAAUGAAAAUGUUUGUACUUAUGGUUUAUAUGAUAUUUCGAGCACAUCCUUCGCAAUAUAAAGUAUAUAUCUUCCAAAUGAAUCUCCCAUUUACCUGUAAACCCGGCAAAUUCGUUCUUUGAUUAUUAUUGAGGUAUGCAUUUUUCUGCUUUCCCGCUGUUUUUUUUUUU
rnacentral:lncRNA from 1 species